CAAAUAGUCUAAUACAAAAUUCAAAAAGAGUGCGCAUAUAUAUCACCAAGCCCUAAAAAAAAAAACUUAAUUAAAACGACAGCACCUCCUCACCCUCUUCUCCCUUCCCCAAUCUAGAUUCUUCUCUCUGCACCUAAGAGCCACCGUCAACGGCAACGAAACGUGAGAUAGGCCAUUGUCGCCGUCUCUCUCUCUCUCUUUCCUAGAAGUCCCCCUUUGGAAGUUUUUUUUUUUUUUUUUUUUUUUGCAUCCAUGAUUUAGUCCUUUUGCAUCAAUUUAUUCUUGACACAAAAUCUUAUUUGCGACCACUCAAUACUUAUUUACUAAGAACUAAAGCGAACGAAAUUCAAAAGCAGCACACAUAUACACCCCCAAGUUCUAAAGCAAAAUUUAUUCAAACUACAGCGUCGCUCCACCCUCUCCUCCCCAACCCAUGCUUUUCUCUCUGCAUCCCCCAAGAGCCACCAUCAACAGUGACCAAAUGAGACGGGCCACUGUCGCCAACUAGCUCUCUCUCUUCUCUCUCUCUUUUUCUCCAUCCCUCUCUCUCCCAGAAGUCCACCUCACUUCUGCCAUCAUUCAACAAUUCGAGUUAUUGGUCAAAUUUCAGGCCAACUCCUUCUUCAUACGUUGUAAUGACAGUGACUAAUACAUAUGGGCGUGUGAGGAAGCUCAUUGGUUUCAAUCUUUUUGGUUCCUUCUCUAGUAUUCAAGGAUUUGAAAGACAUGAAGGCCAAAGAAGACAACAUAUGAAGGCUAUAAUACGAAUGUUUCAUGUAUUUUUCAUGUAUUCGGCCAGUUUAAUACAUUUUUUAUUUUAAUUCUUAAGGGGGCAUUUUUGGUAUGAGGAAUGUUGGUCUUAGUCUCGCAUUGCUAAGAUCUCUCAAUAUUUUUGUUUGUUUGCCAUUGCAUUUUAUGCCUGGGAAAAUUUCAUAAAGGUAAACAAGGCAAUGUGUUUUUAUGUGUGAAAAAUAUAUAAUUUGCUUGGUUCUUUGUUGGCGUAGUCCAGAAAUAAUGGCAUUUGAUUAUACCAUAUGUUCUAUGCUCUGCAAAGUAGCGCAUUGAAAAGCAGUUCUUCUUUUCUUUGCUUCCCUUUUUCUUUUUUGUUUUUAGAUUUGGAUGCAUAGAAAGCAAGAUGAAGCAGCAAUGGAUGCUACCUGCUGGUCAGUGUACUGGGGACAAAAAAGGCAAAUAAUGAUUUCAGUUUCAUUGCUAAUAUGGUUAGUGUACUGAUUUGAUACGUUUCAGAUAAUCAAGAACAAAGCAUGAUUUGGCUUUCUUUUUCUGAUAGGUUUGUGGGAAACCUGCUUAAAGGACAAACUGUUGGAGUGAUUGGAGAUGGUCACAUUGGAUCUACUUAUGCCAGAAUGAUGCCAAAUUCUUAUUAUUUGAACUUCAAAUUGAAAUUUCUUGAAACUUGAAUAUCUAAUUUGACGAAUUUAAGUUGAGUUAAAAAUGAAUGAGUUUAUGCCCUUUUCCUCAAAAGUAGUCCCUUGUGUAUGGGUUUAUGCAGAGGAGAAACUUAUCUUUGCAGAAGUAUAACUUUGAGGAGAAAAUUUAGAAAACAAAAUCACUUAUUCAUGGAUUAUAUGUAAAUGAGAUUUUUUGUUAGUUUAGUCUUUUUCCAUGUAUACAUAUUUAUGCUAUCAAGUGUUUUGUGCUUCUUGAGUUUAGAUGAACAUUUCACGUAUAUGCUUUUUGCUUUUCCCCUUUCAUUUACUCUGAUAUCUCUAGAAUUUUUAUUUUAUAAUGAUUUGAGAGUGACAUUGAAUAUUUUUGCAGGAACCUGAUACAAAGAUUUCUGCUAGUAUGUUGUACUUGAUAAUACAUGUUUACAGGUUUUGUAUUUUGAUGUGCCUUGAGAAGUUUAAAGUUGCACAUUUAGAAUAUAAUGUAAUUGCUUUAUGGAUUAUAGUCUAAUGUAUAUAAUUUUUUUUUUUCUUUUGGAUUGUAAUAUUGCUUCGAAUAUAAAGCAAGUAGUUUGUGUAAUUGAGACAUGAAUUGUAAUAUAAUGUAAGAUGUGUACUGUUUUUUAUGAAAUUUUUUUCAAUAC